rnacentral:rRNA from 1 species
AUGGCGCAGCUGCCGCCCAAGGUCCCCGCCAUGGCGCCGGCCUGGCCGGAGUUCGGGGACGGGCACCACCACAGCGCCCACGCCCACGCCCGCCACCACCAUCACCAGCGCAGCCCCUCCAUGGGCGCCUUCCUCGCCGCGCCAAUGCCGCCGCUCCCGCCCGCCAACGGCGGGGUGCAGCAGCAGCCGUCCUGGGUCGACGAGUUCCUCGACUUCUCGGCCGCCAAGCGCGGCGCGCACCGCCGCACGGUCAGCGACUCCGUCGCCUUCCUCGACGACGGCAAUGCCGGCGGCGUCGGGGCGCACGAGUUCGACCGCCUCGACGACGACCAGCUCAUGUGCAUGUUCUCCGACGAGCUGGCCCCGCAGCGCCAGGCCGCCAGCGCGUCCUCGCCGUCCGAUCACAACAGCGUCAACGACGAGAAGCAGGACAGGGGCGACGCCGAGGAGGCGCAGAGCGACUGCAAUGGCGACGACGGCGCGGCGCCCGGGCAGCCGUCCUCGCCCGCCACAGCCGAUCCCAAGCGGGUCAAGAGGAUCCUUGCAAACCGGCAGUCGGCGCAGCGGUCGCGCGUGCGCAAGCUGCACUACAUCUCGGAGCUCGAGCGCAGCGUCACGUCGCUCCAGGUCCGUCGAACUGUUCACAUUUCGAGCUUGGUUUCCUCGCCUCCAAAGAAAAACGCCAUGAAUUUGACCUCGAACCCGUAUGUGCUCCCUGUUGAGCAGACGGAGGUGUCGGCAUUGUCCCCGCGCGUGGCAUUCCUGGACCACCAACGCUCGCUGCUGACGCUGGGGAACAGCCACCUCAAGCAGCGCAUCGCGGCGCUCGCGCAGGACAAGAUCUUCAAAGACGGUGACCGCCAUUGCCACCCCUCGCAAUUACUACUAUUUCGAAAUUUCUCACCGGCCACCUUCCGAAUUCAAUUCGAAACAAUCUACAACCGCUUUGCUGACUAA